UUUUUUCGAGACAGGGUCUCAUUCUGUCACCUAGACUGGAGUGCAAUGGCAUGAUCUCAGCUCACUGCAACCUCCACCUCCCAGGCUCAAGCAGUUCUCCUGCUUCAGCUUCCCAAAUAGCUGGGACUACAGGGUCUCCAAUAUUUGAGAACUGACACAUUCAAUGUAAAAAUAAUCUGAGUAAAACCAUCAUCUAGUCCCUUUCCUUUGAGACCCAUUUUUUUUUUCCUCAUCCACAUCCUACCUAUAAGGGAGGAAGCAAAGUGAAGAACACAGAUUUCACAGAUGGGAUGCCUGGCUCAAAUUCCAGCUUGACCGCUGGUAGCUGUGUGACCCUCG
rnacentral:lncRNA from 1 species